rnacentral:rRNA from 1 species
CAGUAGCCGCGGGAAUACGAAGGGUGCAAGCGUUACUCGGAAUUACUGGGCGUAAAGCGUGCGUAGGUGGUGGUUUAAGUCCGUUGUGAAAGCCCUGGGCUCAACCUGGGAAUUGCAGUGGAUACUGGGUCACUAGAGUGUGGUAGAGGAUAGUGGAAUUUCCGGUGUAGCAGUGAAAUGCGUAGAGAUCGGAAGGAACAUCUGUGGCGAAGGCGACUAUCUGGGCCAACACUGACACUGAGGCACGAAAGCGUGGGGAGCAAACAGGAUUAGAUACCCGAGUAUCCCUGUCUCUUAUACA